CACAGUGAGAGAUAUGGAUUCCAGUAAAUGGUAUGAUUACUGGAAGUGUUGAUUUCUUGAGUCUUUGGUGAAAAGUUUAACAAGGAUCAAGCAUGUCGUUUCCUUUUCCUAAUGCAAUUUAUGAUUGUAAUUACUAUCAUCUUGUUAAAGAACCACCAAUUUGGUUGCUUUAGCUCUUUGAAGAAGGGUGUUUAUUAGGAUUCUAAUGUGAGCUGGGACACAUUCCAGGAUUGUGUGUCUUUGUUAUGUGAAACUACAGUUUUUUUUUUGUAAAGAAGGUGUUGGUUUUGGGGAGAUCUGCUAUGAAGGUGAUGUUGGUUAGUCUGGGCAUCAUGAAGGGAUCAGUUUCUUCAAUUUCUAGGAAUGGCUCCUUUUUUGCCUUUCAAACAGAUUGGAAUGCGGAAGUUAGUUUCGUUGUUUUUGGUGCUUAUUGUUUCUUUCUGCUAGGAUUGUUGUACUUACUGGGUACUUUUUCUCACUGUAUACUUGUCCACUUAUCUAUACUUAUUCCUUUUUUGUCAAUGACUUUCUCUGUAAUUAAAAAUAGAUACAGAUUGUGGUGCAACUUCUUUAUUUGUCAUUAUAUGAAUGCACUGCACUAAACUAAAUUGUUAUCACACAUGUAUAAUCAUAUAUAUACAUCUGCCUUUUCUUAACUUUUAUGCCUAUUUAUACAUCUAUAUAUAUAUAUAUAUAUAUAUAUAUAUAACACUGCCUUUUCUUAACUUGUGGUUUAGAGAGUUGAGUAUGUAUUGUCAUGAUUUGCAUUUAUUUGUGUAUACUGCACAUACUAGACUAGGCAGUUAGCAAACAAGAGUAGACCUGGCUUAAUUUUUCUUUUCAAGGUCCAGAGAAAUAAAGGGACGUCUGAAGCCUAUGGUAGUGCGGAGUUGGAAGAGUUGUGGGAAAGAGUUAAGAUUUGAGAUUCUCUUUGGGCCUCUAUAUUUGGGGAGUAUGAAGAUUACACUCUUUCAUCUCUUGUUCUAGAUUGGCAAGCAUGUUUACUGUCAGUUGAAGAUCUUGCUGACUUUUCCUUCCAGACAACGCCUAUGUAUAUAGAUGUGGAUGAUGGGAGAACUAAGGCCACGAAUAUAGGACUGCAACAGGACUAUUGUCUUGUGCCAAGUGCCAAGAGAUUUUAUUCUCCUAUAUUCUUUCCUGACGAGGAAUCUAUCAAAGAAAGUGAUGGUCUUCUUCUCUUCUUGCAACUCAGUUUCUUGGAAACAAUAAGUUGAAUGGCGCUCUCUCUGAAUCGAAAAGCUCAUCUCUUCUCAAUGUAUGAGUUAAAUGCCUCACUAAGCUGCACAUGAGUUAAAUGCAGACGAGUAGACCACCUACCAGAUUUGCAGCAAAGGUUUUUGUUCUUUUUUCUGCAAUAUCUUGUUCCUCAUUGAGAAUGAAGACUAGUUGCUCUUGUAAUAUGCAGCAUAAGUCUAUAUGGGGGUCAAGAAAGAUUUGUGUCUCUGCAAUGGGUCAGCAAGUUUGUGUCUCUGCAAGCUCACUGGCCAUUCCGUUUUCUAUGACCACUUCUAUGAUUUGGGUGAUUCCGUUCAUGAUCAGAUUGUGAAACUAGUACAGCAGUACAGCAGUAUAGCUAGCUAGUUCCUUUAUUAACUUGUGUCUAGUAGAAAUUUUUCAUUCAUUAAGCAUUUAGACUUGUCUUCAGAUCCAGAUUAGUAUAUAUGAGUUAUUUUGAACUGAAGUUCAUGAUUAAGUUUGUGUACAUGAGAUACUAGUGGAUUAAUGGAAAUUGCAAUGAAUGAUUUUGAAUGUGGA